rnacentral:rRNA from 1 species
AUGGAAGCACAGGCGCCUCGCUCAGCAUCGGCGACUUGGAAGGCGAUCAUAGCAGGUCGGAAGGCGCUAGAAUGUGGCUUGAUCAAACGUGUUGGGAACGGUGAAUCUAUAUCCACUUGGUCGGAUAGGUGGAUCCUGAACACAAGUACUCAUAAGCCAACUGGUCGGACUGGGGUCGAUCCGAUACCUCGGGUCUCAGAGCUGUUCGAUCAUGAGACGGGGUCUUGGGAUGUCGAACUAGUCCGAAGGAACUUUCUACCAUCAGAUGCUGCGGUUAUACUGAACAUACCAGUAAGAGCAUCCGGAAGUGAGGAAUUUUUUGCCUGGGAUUUGGAGAGGUCUGGUGUUUAUUCUGUUAAGUCGGCUUAUUGUGCUCUAGUGACUCAUAAUGAGCAUUCUGCUCCAGAGGAAGGAACGAUAACGGAUCCAUCAUCGUCAGAAAAACAUAUGUGGACUGCCUUGUGGAAGCUCAAGGUUAUUCCCAGAGUAAGAGUGUUCUGGUGGCGAGUGUUACGGGGAAUCCUCCCGUACUAUGCUACCCUACAUCAUCGUCAUAUCCGUACAACGGCGAUAUGUGAUAUAUGCAAGACAAUGACGGAAGACUUGCACCAUGCGUUGAUUGGCUGUUCUCAUGCGGGUUUGUGUUGGAGUGCAGCUCGUGAUUUUAUGGGAGUCAAUCUGCCGCUGUUGAAUUCGGGCACGUGGGCAAGAGAUGUGCUCAUGGAUGAUCAGAUUGUGGACCAUGACAGUGAAGUAAAUAUGCCCUAG